rnacentral:rRNA from 1 species
GACGAACGCUGGCGGCGUGCUUAACACAUGCAAGUCGAACGGAAAGGCCCUGCUUGCCGGGUACUCGAGUGGCGAACGGGUGAGUAACACGUGGGUGAUCUGCCCUGCACUUCGGGAUAAGCUUGGGAAACUGGGUCUAAUACCGGAUAGGAGCCAUCUUUAGUGUGGUGGUUGGAAAGUUUUUUCGGUGUAGGAUGAGCUCGCGGCCUAUCAGCUUGUUGGUGGGGUAAUGGCCUACCAAGGCGGCGACGGGUAGCCGGCCUGAGAGGGUGUACGGCCACAUUGGGACUGAGAUACGGCCCAGACUCCUACGGGAGGCAGCAGUGGGGAAUAUUGCACAAUGGGCGCAAGCCUGAUGCAGCGACGCCGCGUGGGGGAGGAAGGCCUUCGGGUUGUAAACUCCUUUCGCUAGGGACGAAGCUUUUUGUGACGGUACCUAGAUAAGAAGCACCGGCUAACUACGUG